GGAAUAUUGCACAAUGGGCGCAAGCCUGAUGCAGCCAUGCCGCGUGUAUGAAGAAGGUCUUCGGGUUGUAAAGUACUUUCAGCGAGGAGGAAGGCAUUGUGGUUAAUAACCACAGUGAUUGACGUUACUCGCAGAAGAAGCACCGGCUAACUCCGUGCCAGCAGCCGCGGUAAUACGGAGGGUGCAAGCGUUAAUCGGAAUUACUGGGCGUAAAGCGCACGCAGGCGGUCUGUCAAGUCGGAUGUGAAAUCCCCGGGCUCAACCUGGGAACUGCAUUCGAAACUGGCAGGCUAGAGUCUUGUAGAGGGGGGUAGAAUUCCAGGUGUAGCGGUGAAAUGCGUAGAGAUCUGGAGGAAUACCGGUGGCGAAGGCGGCCCCCUGGACAAAGACUGACGCUCAGGUGCGAAAGCGUGGGGAGCAAACAGGAUUAGAUACCCGAG
rnacentral:rRNA from 1 species